rnacentral:rRNA from 1 species
GACGAACGCUGGCGGCGUGCUUAACACAUGCAAGUCGAACGGAAAGGCCCUGCUUUUGUGGGGUGCUCGAGUGGCGAACGGGUGAGUAACACGUGAGUAACCUGCCCUUGACUUUGGGAUAACUUCAGGAAACUGGGGCUAAUACCGGAUAGGAGCUCCUGCUGCAUGGUGGGGGUUGGAAAGUUUCGGCGGUUGGGGAUGGACUCGCGGCUUAUCAGCUUGUUGGUGGGGUAGUGGCUUACCAAGGCUUUGACGGGUAGCCGGCCUGAGAGGGUGACCGGCCCAAAUGGGACUGGGAUACGGGCCCGACUCCUACGGGGGGCAGGAGUGGGGAAUAUUGCACAAUGGGCGGAAGCCCGAUGCAGCAACGCCGCGUGCGGGAUGACGGCCUUCGGGUUUGAAACCGCUUUCGCCUGUGACGAAGCGUGAGUGACGGUAAUGGGUAAAGAAGCACCGGCUAACUACGUG